CAGCGUGCACAAUGGAAAAUUGAAGCACGUACGCUCGCGCUAUUGAAUUUGAUUGCACGAAUUUACAAUCUAUGUUAUAAGUAUAGAUGAAGGAGUAUGACAAGUUCGCCAACAUUUCUAACUCUGGGGAUACUCAUGGUGUUUGCUGGCUCUUCGGUUGAGGAUAUUUUAAUGAUCAAAGUGCGAACAAAACGCCAGGAAAGAAAGCCCGUAAACUUGAAGUUUGAGAUUUGAUUUAUUGAGGAUCAAUAUUUACACAUGAGACAACAAACCUUGAAGUCAAUAUAAGAGACAAGGCGUUUAAAAAUGUUCCAGCUUCAGGAUUAAGUUGCUCUUACUACAACCCUCGGCGAAUUAUUUUUCGUGAGGUUUUGGUGGAUUUUUCAAGUCAUGACCCAAAACCGUCUUUGGCCUUUUUGCUCUCCAAGUCUGUUGCAUAUGGAGCGGUUCUAAGUGAGUUUGGUAACGAGUUCCAGAGUUAACAGGCUGAAUAACGGAAAGAAUGUUCGACUGCAUUAGGUUCAACACCAUCUCGUCCCCGAAUGAAGGAUUAUCAUAACUUCUCAAAUGUGACAAAAUGAAGUAUAAUCAUUCAACAUCGAGAUGACCGUGAGUCCAACGGUAGACUGGAGAUACUAAGGUAGCGCAAGUCACAGAGUGAAAAAUGGCGGCGAAGAAGGCGUCCAAGAAAAAAGAAGAUCUCGAUGCUCUGCUACAAGAAGCAACAAGUUUGCUUGGAGAAAAAGAAAU
rnacentral:lncRNA from 1 species